AGCGCUGCGAACUUGGAGGAACCCGAACUAGAAGAAAGCGAAGCUCCCGGAUCGCAGGGAAUUCCCGAAGCCCAGGCGGGCUCCGGGGAGGAGGAGGAGGAGGAGGCUAGGGCAGGCUGCGCAGCUGUUCCGGGAGGGAGGGCUCCUUGAAAGCACCGCGCCCGCUACGUCGGGCUGAAGCUUUACGGUUUCACUUUUGUGUCCUGCCGCCUGAGUUCCGCUCUUGGUCGUGGCUCCCGUUGCUCCCGGGUUGAGCAGACAAUAGACCCCUCCCCGGCAUCCCAGCAGGUCCUCGCUUCGCUUGGUGGACCCAGAUACCUCGGCAGGGGUGAAAAAUCGAGGACCAUGCCAUCGGCCUUUGAGAAAGUGGUCAAGAAUGUGAUCAAGGAGGUAAGCGGCAGCAGAGGCGAUCUCAUUCCGGUGGACAGCCUGCGGAACUCCACCAGCUUCAGGCCCUACUGCCUUCUGAACAGGAAAUUUUCAAGCUCAAGGUUCUGGAAACCCCGUUAUUCAUGUGUCAACCUGUCAAUCAAGGACAUCCUGGAGCCCAGUGCUCCAGAACCAGAACCGGAGUGUUUUGGCUCCUUCAAAGUCUCUGAUGUCGUCGAUGGGAACAUUCAGGGCAGAGUGAUGUUGUCAGGCAUGGGAGAAGGGAAAAUUUCUGGUGGGGCUGCAGUGUCUGACAGUUCCAGUGCCUCCAUGAAUGUGUGUAUACUGCGUGUGACUCAGAAGACCUGGGAGACCAUGCAGCAUGAAAGGCACCUUCAGCAGCCUGAGAACAAAAUCCUGCAACAGCUUCGGAGUCGUGGGGAUGACCUGUUUGUGGUGACCGAGGUGCUGCAGACAAAGGAGGAAGUGCAGAUCACUGAGGUCCACAGCCAAGAGGGCUCAGGCCAGUUUACGCUGCCUGGAGCUUUAUGCUUGAAGGGUGAAGGCAAGGGCCACCAAAGCCGGAAGAAGAUGGUGACCAUUCCUGCAGGCAGCAUCCUGGCAUUCCGAGUGGCCCAACUGCUUAUUGGCUCUAAAUGGGAUAUCCUUCUCGUCUCAGAUGAGAAACAGAGGACCUUUGAGCCCUCCUCAGGUGACAGAAAAGCAGUGGGCCAGAGGCACCAUGGCCUCAAUGUGCUUGCUGCGCUUUGUUCCAUCGGAAAGCAGCUCAGUCUCCUGUCAGAUGGGAUUGAUGAGGAGGAAUUAAUUGAGGCGGCAGACUUCCAGGGCCUGUAUGCUGAGGUGAAGGCUUGCUCCUCAGAACUGGAGAGCUUGGAAAUGGAGUUGAGACAACAGAUACUGGUGAACAUCGGAAAGAUUUUACAGGACCAGCCCAGCAUGGAAGCCUUAGAGGCCUCACUAGGGCAGGGCCUGUGCAGUGGCGGCCAGGUGGAGCCUCUGGACGGCCCAGCUGGCUGCAUCCUUGAGUGUCUGGUGCUUGACUCUGGAGAACUGGUGCCGGAACUCGCAGCCCCUAUCUUCUACCUGCUGGGAGCACUGGCUGCCCAGAUCUCUCCCCAGUGCUGAGUGAAACCCAGCAGCAGCUGCUAGCUAAGGCUCUGGAGACAACGGUGCUGUCAAAGCAGCUGGAGUUGGUGAAGCACGUCUUGGAACAGAGCACCCCGUGGCAGGAGCAGAGUUCUGUGUCCCUGCCCACCGUGCUCCUUGGGGACUGCUGGGAUGAAAAGAAUCCCACCUGGGUCUUGCUAGAAGAAUGUGGCCUAAGGCUGCAGGUAGAAUCCCCCCAGGUGCACUGGGAACCAACGUCUCUGAUCCCCACAAGUGCGCUCUAUGCCUCCCUGUUCCUAUUGUCAAGUCUAGGCCAGAAACCUUGUUAGCCUGUGGGCCUCCCUUCCCACAACAUCUCCAUGUCCUACCCUCCAGCCAAGGUAGAAUCUUGCCAAGCCUAGCCUUUGGGAAGCCAAGAACCAUACUCAGUCACAGGGUUAUAAUGCACUGAGAUCCAGAAGUUGGGAAAACUCAAUAAAUGUACAAAGGAAAGCAUAA